rnacentral:rRNA from 1 species
AGAGUUUGAUCCUGGCUCAGGACGAACGCUGGCGGCGUGCUUAACACAUUGCAAGUCGAGCGGAAAGGCCCCUUCGGGGGUACUCGAGCGGCGAACGGGUGAGUAACACGUGGGUAAUCUGCCCAAGACACAGGAAUAACCAGUGGAAACGCUGGCUAAUGCCUGAUGACGUGCCGGCCUUUCGGGGCUUGUACCAAAGGUAGCUUCGGCCUCCGGUCUUGGAUGAGCCCGCGUCCCAUUAGCUUGUUGGUGAGGUAACGGCUCACCAAGGCGACGAUGGGUAGCUGGUCUGAGAGGACGAUCAGCCACACUGGGACUGAGACACGGCCCAGACUCCUACGGGAGGCAGCAGUGGGGAAUCUUGCGCAAUGGGCGAAAGCCUGACGCAGCAACGCCGCGUGCGGGAAGAAGGUCUUAGGGUUGUAAACCGCUUUCAGCAGGGACGAAGGCAAUCGGGUUAAUAGCCCGUGAGUUGACGGUACCUGCAGAAGAAGGUCCGGCUAACUACGUGCCAGCAGCCGCGGUAAUACGUAGGGACCAAGCGUUGUCCGGAAUCAUUGGGCGUAAAGAGCGUGUAGGCGGCUUGUUAAGUCUUGUGUGAAAUCUCGGGGCUCAACCCCGAGCGGUCAUGAGAAACUGGCAGGCUAGAGUGCGGGAGAGGAGAGUGGAAUUCCUGGUGUAGCGGUGAAAUGCGCAGAUAUCAGGAAGGAACACCCGUGGCGAAGGCGGCUCUCUGGAACGCAACUGACGCUGAGACGCGAAAGCGUGGGGAAGCAAAACAAGGAUUAGAUACCCCGGUAGUCC